rnacentral:rRNA from 1 species
UACAGAGGGUGCGAGCGUUAAUCGGAAUUACUGGGCGUAAAGGGCGCGUAGGUGGUUAUGUAAGUGAGAUGUGAAAUCCCUGGGCUUAACCUAGGAACUGCAUCUUAUACUGCGUAGCUGGAGUGCGGUAGAGGGUAGUGGAAUUUCCGGUGUAGCGGUGAAAUGCGCAGAUAUCAGGAGGAACACCCGUGGCGAAAGCGGCUCUCUGGGACGGUACUGACGCUGAGACGCGAAAGCGUGGGGAGCAAACAGG